CCCUCGGUCGUCUAGUUGGUUUAUGGCGUCCGGCUGUAAUUUAUCAGUCUCACCGGAAUGUCGCGCGUUCGACUCGCGCCUGAGGGA